rnacentral:lncRNA from 1 species
CCAUUGGAGGGCUAAGGAAUAUCAUACUCAAAGCCAAGGACUACCAGUUAUACUCCUAAACCAUCAGUCUUCUGCAAGAACCCAAGCAAUUCGCUCCUAAGUUCAACAUAAAGAUUAAUGUGAAUUUGUGUAAGGGAUGCAAUCAGAGUAUGAAAUGGCAAACAGUUAGUUUUUUUUUUAACAGGAAGAUAAAAUGCCUUACCAGACUGCAAGAAGAUUCCCAGUAGGCCUUAACGAUUUUCCUUGCUUCAGACUCCAUUGUGCAUCUUGUUCUUGGUGUAAUUUGAGCUUGUGUGCCGUAUGUGUUAUCCUCUCGUAGUUAUUGAUUGUGCAUAUUCGAUCAUGAAGGCAAUUUCAGUUUUUGAUUGUCCAUAUUUGUCAUAGGCGGAGAAGGUAACUUCAGAAUAGCAACAAAACAUGGCUUUUAAAUCAUAUAAUAGCAGCAUUCUACCAGGAUCAUUAGGAUACUCCAUCAUGCAGCUUAAAAUCAAAGAUUGGAGGAUGUCCAUAUUAUGACUCCAAGACAAAAAAGGAAUGAUAGUGAAACAUGCAACCAGCAUCUUACUAAAUCAAAGCUAACAAUAACCCCAACUUCCUAACAUUCAAUCAGUUCCAUAUAGCUAUGAUAGCAAGUCGUGAUAUGACGGACUGAAAUAAGACAGAAAACCAGAGGUCAAGAAUCCUGCUACAUAGUUCUCGAGCCCCUUCUACAACCCUAUCUAAUCCUCACGUAGCUACCAGAAGAUACAUGAGACAACAAUUAUUAUUCAGAUACAAUGCAGCUCACACUUGUAGACUAAGAUGUCUCGUAUUUCUCGAAAAUGUGAUCCAAUUGAUGAUAAAGAAACAGAGUUCUUGGUUUAGUUCUCCACCUCAAUGGUAGAAAAAAAAUGAUUGAUCAACUUCUAUUGAGUUUGACUCAUAAUGAUCAGUUAUCAAAAAAUUACUAUAGUUAUUAAAUGACUGAACAAUUGGGAACAAUUUAUUUAUAAUAUAAUUAAAACUCAAAAUUUUUCCCUCACUUUAAAUGCUGAAACAAUCUACUAGCGGGUGGCGUUAUUUGCCUUCAUUAUGCAAUCUCACUUCUUUGUAUAAUUAAAGACAAAUGAACAUAAUGCAAAACCUUUUUUGGUUUAGAUUGAGACAUACCCAGCACCAGCUACAAUGAAAAUGCAUGUUCUUGUUAUUUAAGACAACAAAGUCAAUCCAUCCAACCAAGUAUAAGUAACUUGGUUUCUAAUACCAUAAGCAAUAUCAACUGUUCAACCAGCAACUAACUUCUUAAAUAAAAAAAAAAAAAUCCUAAAUACAGAAUGUAUGUCUGGAACAAAUACAUCAAUUUUUGUUGAAUUUGUUUAGAAACCUAGACUUAGUUAAAAUAUAAAAAAAUUCAUUUCCAUAAAAAAAAUUCAUUUCCAAAUAAACUCUAAAUAAGAUUAUAAUACAUUUCAUAUUCUAUCAACAAUUAUAGAAUUCAGGAGUCAAUUAAGAUAGGUCAAAAGGGAAGUUGGUCCAUUUAUUUGGUUUCUAUCUUCAUAAAACCAAUUAGGAUACAUGCUAAA